rnacentral:rRNA from 1 species
AACAGCCGCGGUAAUUCCAGCUCCAAUAGCGUAUAUUAAAGUUGUUGCAGUUAAAAGCUCGUAGUUGAAUUUCGGGAUUGACACAUCGGUCGUGCCUUAAGGGGUAUGAACUGGUGUAGUCAAUUUCUCACCUUCUGGAGAACCGCGAUGUCCUUAAUUGGGUGCCGCGGGGAACCAGGACCUUUACUUUGAAAAAUUAGAGUGUUUAAAGCAGGCAUUUUGCUUGAAUACAUUAGCAUGGAAUAAUAAAAUAGGACGGAUGAUUCUAUUUUGUUGGUUUCUAGGACCACCGUAAUGAUUAAUAGGGAUAGUUGGGGGCAUUAGUAUUCAAUUGUCAGAGGUGAAAUUCUUGGAUUUAUUGAAGACUAACUACUGCGAAAGCAUUUGCCAAGGAUGUUUUCAUUAAUCAAGAACGAAAGUUAGGGGAUCGAAGACGAUCAGAUACCGUCGUAGUCUUAACCAUAAACUAUGCCGACUAGGAAUCAGACGAUGUUAAUUUUUUAAUGACUCGUUUUGGCAC